GGCAGUUCCUAUCCCUUUCGGAGCUCCAGCCUGCCCCUCCUGACGCUCUCAGAGUCUGGCCUUCUGCUGGGCCCCGGGUCUCUCACUGGCAGAAUGGAGUUCUCGGAGCUGAUCCAUACGGGCUGAGCCCAAGCAGAGUUUCUACGGGGCCCGGAGGCGCCCCCGCUUCGCGGCACGGUGUGAGUCACCGUCCACCACCUGCUCCUGUCGCCAGGGCCCGCGUCCUCUCCGGACCUGUGGCUGCUGCUGUUGCGUAGCGUCGACUCCUUCGAGAAGCAGUUCUGCUACGCUCCAGCCAGCCCCUAACUGGUCCCCAGAAGCGGCGCUGCUACAGGGACCAGGAGCUGCUGCGAACUGCGCUGGCGGGGGCUCGUCCUUGGGCGCGGGGCUUCAUCAUGGACACGCUCUCGGCCCAGGCCGCGAAACAAGCCCGCGUGACUGGCGGAGGCACAGAGACCAAGGCCGCUUAACCUGGCUGGUUGCACUGGUCCCUGGAGAGCACUGAGCACAGGGGCUGCCACAGUGGCCGGCUCAGACAUGGCAGAGAUCAGCAGAGAAUGGGCAAUCAGGCUCCCCUGAGAUGAGCAGCAGCGCAGAGGAGGUGCCCCUCUCUUACUACACCAACUUCAGAGGGCGUCCCCUGCAGGAGAGCUUCAUGCGCCUGGUGGAGGCCUGUGGGGACUCGGAGCAAAGCAUGGACAACUGGCUGAGUCGGCUGGACGGCUGCCGCUGACUGUAACAUGUAAAGCAGGCACUGAGCACCACCUGCCUGGCAGUCCAGGGCAUGGAGAGGCACAGACAGCACCCUGCUUGUGACUUCACUGGCCCAACUCAUCCUGGACCCCUUGAGCAAGACCAUGGCUGGAUUCCAGGAACUGGUGGAGUGGAAGUGGAUCCAGGAAAGCCAGCCACCCCUUCCAGCUGCGCUGUGCCCAUUCAGCCUUCUCCCAUGCCCACCCCAAGCAUGAGGCACCCACCUUUCUCCUCUUCCUGGACUGCGUGUGGCAGCUGGGCUGCCGGUUCCCACUGUCAUUGGAGUUUGGGGAAGGGCUACUGUUGGCGCUGUUUGGGCACGCCUAUGCCUCCUCUUUUGGCACCUUCCUCUGCAACAGCGAAAAGGAGAGAUGCCGUGUGAAGGGAGGACUCAGAUGCACUCCCUGUGGUCUGGGCUCAACCAGCCAAAAGAGCAACAAAGACUCCAGAACCCACUCUACCUCCUCAAUCCCUUGGCCAUCUGUGGAGCCCCAGAGCCUGCGGCUGUGGCAAGGCCUGUUUCUGCGCUGGACCUGCUCACCUGAGCCUGCAGAAGCUGCAUGGGGGAAGAGUGUGGCAAAUAGUGACAGGAAGGGAGAAGACAGAAGCCUCUCAGCCAACUGCUUCAGCCGAGCCCCUAUUCUAAGCACUGGCUCCUUGGAUAGCAGCUGAGAUGUUCCUGAAACCUCUGCAGGCCCCUUAGGACCUUUACACCUUGGAUGAGGGUGCCUGCAACCCAGGUUAGCCAAAAGUACUGAGGGUCUUAAGUUUGAAGUGUCCAAAGUAUAGGGAGGUCUCAAUAAUAAAAGUCUCCAUGAUCAGCA
ensembl:lncRNA novel transcript